AGAACGAACGCUGGCGGCAGGCUUAACACAUGCAAGUCGAACGCUCGUGGCAACACGGGAGUGGCGGACGGGUGAGUAACGCGUGGGAACGUGCCUCAAGGUACGGAAUAACUGCGGGAAACUGCAGCUAAUACCGUAUGUGCCCCUUACGGGGGAAAGAUUUAUCGCCUUGGGAGCGGCCCGCGUCGGAUUAGCUAGUUGGUGGGGUAACGGCCUACCAAGGCUUCGAUCCGUAGCUGGUCUGAGAGGACGAUCAGCCACACGUGGACUGAGACACGGCCCAGACUCCUACGGGAGGCAGCAGUGGGGAAUCUUGCGCAAGUGGGGGCAACCCGUGACGACG
rnacentral:rRNA from 1 species